UUCAUCUCUAUAUUCACUUACCUGCUUCUUUGUCUACACUUCAUCUUCUAUCCUGCUUGAAAAAUGGCGGUGCGUCUCAGCCUCACUCUACGCCACCCGCUUCUCCCCUCAAGUUAUCCAAUUCCAGUCAGAGCUACUCAAUUCCGCAGAUUCGCUGUUCAGAAUUGCGUCUCCGACUCCGAUCACUCGCGCAAGCUUGUCUUGGAAGUGAAGGAGAAACUCGAAAGAGAACAUUCUAAUCUUCCUCUAGGUCGGAAUGGAAGGGACGAUGAAGAGAUGAUCCUCUGGUUUCUGAAGGACCGAAAGUUUUCUGUUGAAGAUGCGGUUGCAAAAUUAACGAAAGCUAUUAACUGGCGUCAGGAAUUUGGAGUAGAUGAACUGUCUGAAUAUUCAGUAAAAGGAAUGGCUGAAACUGGGAAGGCAUACAUCCACGAGUUUCUUGAUGUCAAUGACCGGCCAGUACUCAUAGUUGUGGCUUCCAAGCAUUUACCUGCAGUCCAUGAUCCUGUUGAGGACGAGAAAUUGUGUGUGUUCUAUGUAGAGAAGGCACUGAACAAGCUUCCACCUGGAAAAGAAGAAAUACUUGGAAUAAUUGAUCUGCGAGGUUUUCGUACUGAGAAUGCGGAUCUUAGGUUCUUGACAUUUUUGUUUGAUGUGUUCUACUUCUACUAUCCAAAACGGCUAGGUCAAGUCCUCUUUGUGGAAGCUCCAUCUGUGUUCAGACCAUUAUGGCAACUUACCAAGCCAUUACUAAAAUCAUAUGCCUCUCUGGUGAGGUUUUGUUCCGUAGAUACAAUCAGGAAGGAAUAUUUUACUGAAGCUACACUGCCUGCCAUCUUUGAAGACUGAGGAGCGUUAUCACUCUCGACCAACAGGUCCAAAUUAGGUUGUAUUAAGACAGGCGCGUACUGAAAAGAUUAUAAAAUUCCACCUGUUCAUAUUUUGGGAAAUAAAAAAGAAGUCUUUCAAGUACAUUUGAUAUUUACUAACACUUCGCUAAUUGUGGAGCUACAUUUCUCCAGAGAUGAAGGUCAGUUAUCGCUAAUAAGCCCAUGCAACUCGAAUUCUGCAUAUUCAGGUCUACUGCUGGCUGCUUCUACAAUAUGAUGUGGACGCUCUGCUGAAGAAAAUAUUUCAUACGAAUAAAAAGGGUAGAAUUCAAUUUUCCCUCUCAAAUUGUAUGUGCUGAUUCGAUACACAAUGAGGAAUCCAGAGAUUUUCAACUAUGGGUUCAAACGUGGAGUGUGGAGGUAAGUGAUUCCACCUAAAAGAAGUUUAAUCACAUGAAUAUUUAUUCUUGUUUCAUGUUAAAUUAUCACUAAGCGUAUUUUUUUAAUGUUUCUAAAAUUAUAAAAACAUAACAUUUUGCAUAAAUUCCUCAAAUUAUUGAGAUCUGUCCAUUUGCAAUUGUGCAAGGCAUCCAUCCUUGUUAGGGAAUACAAAAAUCUCACGUUGACUAGAUAAAAUAAGUUGGACAAAAAUCUUCAUUGGUAUGAUGCUUUUUUUUUGUGAAACUAAAAGUAAAAUCAAAAGCUCAAAGUGCAUUCUGAUUUUUGUUACCUUAAAUAUGGGCCCCAAUCAUAAAAAUGGCAAAAUCGGGAUGGAUAAUUUCCAAAAAUACAUAUAGUAUGUAGGAUAUUAGAGUUAGACUUAGCGUUCAUUGAUUGAUUGUACACAUUUAGAAAUAAUUUUGGGAGGUUCAAUUUUAGUGUACAAACAUUGUGAAGACAUGGGGAUCUGUUAUCUCUAACACUCAUUUUUAUGUUUUAUGAAGAUAUAUUUGUUUUUGUCCUAAAGGAAAUGUGUUUGAAUCUCCAUCUUCACACCAUUCAACUCUAAAAAAAAAUUAAAGAGACGGUGGGAAUCGCCACGAAUUCCCAUAUUUGA